CACAAAAGUUGUUUAUUUCAUUGAUCAUUGGUUCUAUUACGAGUUACAUUUUUCCUUUCGUUCGAAGUUUUCAUAAUCACUAAUUGAUGGUAGCAAAGCAUAUUGUUGAGGAUUGUCGAUUUCACUGGAGCUCAAAAAUACCGACGUGAUUCGUAUGUGACCAAAUAUUGAAGUAAGCAAAUUUAGACAUUCAUUUCAUUUGUUACGGGUUAGUUUUUUGGAGUCAUUACGAUCAUGGUAACAAUCUUAGCAGUUGUAAGAUUGUGGUAUGUGGAGUACAGAAAUGUGGUCGGUUUGUCCUAGUGACUUGCUGACAGUGCAGCAUCAUACACCUGCAUCUUCUCUCCUGCAGUAUGAGUAUCAGCAAGUCCAAAUAAUAGCUGAUUGGACUUUCAAAUGAUAAAGUCUAAACACUAACGACGAUUGAUGACACCAAACUGUCGUAUAAUUCAACAUUCUAAUACCUGGGAAAGGUUAAGAUAUUUAACGCUGUUAAUGUUAUGUGGAUCCUCACCAACGAAUUUAUAUCAAAUGACAUAUGGCAUUGACAUUGAUGUGCUAGGUUUUUCCACGCGAUAAUAUCAUAGACUGAAAAAUGCUAGCAAGAAGCUGGUGCUGCUGCAGCGACAACGAAUAACUUACAUGAAUUCGUCUUAAACUUCUAUUGAAGUCCUUCUCAACUCCUCCAACUACUAAAUUGCAGCUGGUGUAAACUGGAUUCCAAUUCUUUGCUGCGGUUAUCACAUUGCGAUGGGAAUUGGUUUCAAAUGUGAACUAUGUGUGCUUGAGUUAUCGCAGAUGACAAAUACUGCUCAUAUUUCAUGAUUGUUCCGUGUCAUUUGCUGCGGUUAUCACAGCACCUGAUUAAUCAGGUCUUUUCACCUGAUUAAGGUUGUUAUUAUAGAGGUAUUAUCACCGAUAAAUACUUUUGAACUAUGGUAUGUUGCAAUAUAUUGCAGCGUGAUUGUUUUGGCAAUCUAAUGAUUUAAGAGAUCGAUUCAGAGCGAAUUCUCCUAUGCUGUACAAAAUAACGUAUAUCGACGAUGCUAGAUAGCGAUGUUGUCGACAAACUCCCAAAUCAAUAAGUAUCUCGUCACCAAACCACUGAAAUUUUUAUUUUCUUUUGCAAAAAUCAAACGAUAAUGGCUGAUUUUUUUCGGUGGUUAGCUUCAUUAGGAAUCAAGCAUGAUCUUACCACUUCUUAACUGUGAAAAGUGGAAUAAACCUAAGGACUGACUAAUAACUGUCAAUGUACAUUACAAUACGGACUGCGCAAGCUUUUCCAUGAUAGACAAAUCAGUUACCGUAAUACAUUUUUUAAUUCUCCAUCAAAGAUUUUAAAGUAAUUCAGUAUACGAAUAAACGAAUCCAGCAUAUGAUGGACUUCUGGUGAAUAUUUGUUAUAAGAUAUCGACCUUUUUUCAAUGGCUUCAAGUCUUGAAUAAUAAAUCUCAACUAUACUAUUAGUUUUCGAAGCAGUGUUUACUAUUAAAUAAGAGAGCGUAUUCAAGCCUGGUAAAUCUGAAAACUCAAUAUGUUGAUAAAUACAUCUGUUUGUCGGAGAAUAUUGUUCCCGAGACAUUAUUAAUAUCAGUAAUUAUGAAAUCAUAGACAAGUGGUAAAGAGGCGAAGGGCAAAGAAAGAGCAGUUAUACAAUAUGGAAUAUAGAUACAUUUUAAUAAUUAUUCUGGGAUAAUAGCAACUAUCUUUGUGGAUAUCCGAUUUCAUUUCACAGCCAUUCAUAAGUACACACUGAAAACCGGAAAACGAAGUUUUUCUACGUUUUUUUUCAAAUGCAGAAUCAAUUGUGAUUGAUUU